rnacentral:tRNA from 1 species
GCAGGUGUCGUAUAAUGGUUCAUUACCCCAGCCUUCCAAGCUGGUGACGCCGGUUCGAUUCCGGUCACCUGCUCCA